rnacentral:lncRNA from 1 species
UGUUCAUUCCAAAAAUAUUCAAUCUAUUAUCUUUUGUAACAUUUUAUACAGAAUCAUUUCGUCCCACAUGAAAUUACAUAGGAUAGCAAAAAUCCUGGAAAAAUCUAUAAUUUGUUGUUUCAUCCUUCUGCCAUUGGGAGUUAGCAAAUAGGAUUACAAUACAUGCAGACAUCAACUAUAUGUUUUUAAGAAAUCAUACUCAUCAAGCUCCAGCAGUUUCUAGCUAGGUACAUCCCUCAUACUUUCAAGUAAACAAUGCUGACACACACAUAAGACUUCAUGAAAACAAUAGCACUCUGUUCAGCAAUUUCAGAAAUAAUCGUUAUUAUGAUAAUAAAAAUAAUUAUUCAUUCAGAAAAUGAUAAUUCCUAUAUCAUCCAUGUUAUUUCAGAUGAAUACAUGUUUGGUCCUCAUCACCUUAGGUACAUUACGUCAUUUUUUUUUCUUUUCUAUUUGACAAGAAAUUGCACAAAGUUUAUGCUACCAGAAGUUUUUGCUAUGGCUCUUAUCAAUCUUCAUCAUCACUUUCAAUAAUGUUUUUCUUCUGAAGAACUCUACGUAAUGGAACAUGAUCAUCCUCUUCAGAAUCAUCUGAAUCUAAUG